UCACCAGCCUUACUUUCUCCUCCGGAGCCAUCUGGGUCCAGUGACAAGAUAUAGAUCAGUAUGACUGAAGAUGGCCCCUCCAUGUGGUAUGGAUGUAGAUGAAGGAAUACUGGACUUGGAAACAAAAGUUCAAUUUUCUGAGCAUAUUGAUUUAUUAAGCACUUGCUAUGUAAAUGACACUUUUUUAAGUACUAGGGAAACAGAAAAACCAAAGAAUUGUCCAUACUUGCAAAAAGCUUACAUCCUGCUUUGGGGAAGAAGGCUGGAAGGAUGCAACAUGAAACAGAGCAAGAGCAGGACAGAUUACUGGAGGGUGUCCAUGGUUGUUGAAGGCCACCUGAACCUUUGAUGAACAGCUGCUGCAGCUUUACUCUGGAGCAAGUUUAACUAUUUCCAAUUGUCAAAGUUCCUGUAUUAUCUUCUGGGCACCCAAGUUUAAGAAGGAUAUCGAUAAGUUGGAGAAAAGGACAACUAGGAUGGUGAAGGACCUUGAGUCUCUAUCAUACAAAGAACAGUGAAGGAACGGGGUGAGAACUGAGAUCUUAUUAAUGGAGGGCACUCUGAAGAAAAGAAUCAGCAUAGAUUGAAAUUCACUCUGCAAAUUACGCUUCAGAGUGGCCAGCUAUACUAAGAAGUUAUUAAGUGGCACAGUAGAUAGAGUGCCGGACUUGGAAUCAUGUCAGACCUGAGUUCAAAUACUUAGAUAUUAGUAAGUCAUUUCAUAUCUCAGCCUCAAUUUCUUCAUCUGUAAA